UCACGUUGAAUUUGGAACACUUCAACAAAGAUACAGUUCGGUGCAUAAAUAAUUGAGUUGCAAGGAUAAGCUUUCAUUAGUGGGGGGAAUAAGGUGGGACAAUGUGUGCCUCGCAUGCCCUUGUCUAUGUUACUCUUCUUAAUGCUCUCAGGAAAAAAAGAGUGGUGGGCACUGUAGAUUCUUAGUGAACUUUAAUUAUUCUCUCCAUUUCUCUGAUACGAGUCAAUUAUUAGAUCUAGCUUUCUGUCCAAAUGUUUGCAUAUUCAAAUAUGUUUUCUUUUGUAGUCAUCAAUUUAGCAAAUCUUCUAAAUUCAAUCUGUUUGACUUAGUUGGAUGCAGGCAUUGGAUCUUGACCCUGGUAAUGGUACCUUGUUCUCAAACAAGAGCCUUUGCUGGCUUCAUUAGAUUCUCUUGCAUGCAGUGAAUGAGGCUUGACUACCAAAGGCCUGCUACUGGUAGGGUGCAACUCUGAUGUUUUUUUUAGAUUACUAAACAAAAGCAUUCUGGCCUUCACAUUCACAAUUGAAUGCUUAUAGCCAAACGAUACAAAUAUGGUACUUAGACUAAUGUUUCGCUACACAGACAACAAACCCCCCCUAGCUGACUCCAGACUACUGGCUGCAGCAACACAGAUAGCCCACAACUCUGAUGUUACUGAAUGUGAUGCUCUAUUAUAUAGUUUGUCAAUUCUAGAAAUAGUUUUUUGCCAUUCACCAUAUCUUGCAUUCUCAGGACUACAAGAGUGCAUGUGAAGCGAUUGUUUGAUGGAAUUGUUGGACCUAGAAUACUGAAUUUGAGGAUGCUCCAAGGUGGUGUUGGCCUGAGUUUACUUCAGUUCUGCAACCUAAACAGCUUUAGGACCAAUGGGGUUCGCUUUCUUCAUGGGCUUAUCAGUUCCUUAGUACUUCAAUGAGUACAGCUGUUGCAAGUUAUGGUCCAGUGCACACUGGCGCCAGAUGGAGGUUUUGGUGGAAGAAAUGCAUGACUUGGACAAGUGAAGUGUGCUCAUGAUUUUUAAUGAUCGUUGAACAUUUCUGGUUUCUAUGUAGCUAUGCAAAGACUUGAUUGCAGUUUGAAAUACAUAUGUAUUUUUAAUAAACAGACUUAUGUCUGAGAUUUGUUUUUU